AUUCCACAAACUAUCAGAUUUUAGGAUUUGACCUGCCAUCUGCUACCAAAGCCCCAUUUGGAAAGAGCAUGCUUGCAUACUGGUUCUUCCAGAAAAUAUGAACUGGGAACCAUUAGUGGGAAGAUGAUGUGAAACAGAGGAAAAUUCUUCAGUAACCGAUCAAUACAGCUUCAACACCAAGUCCAUCAUUGCAGGAUCCAAAGAGAAUCCCAGACAGAUCUCUAAAAUAAAGCACCAUUGAUCACAGUACAGCACAUACAAACUCCUCAGCAGUACUAUAAUGGCAGCCACCAGUUAUUUUGUUUUCUUAAUGUUUUGAAUUUUUGACCUUUUUUAACCAGAGAAAAAUAUUUAGAGAAGUCAUAAGAUUUUUUUUUUUUCUGGUGUCCUUAUGCCACAAGGUUGAAUUAGAGGAAAUGGUAAAAUAACAAAGUGUUUCAAUGGUUAUUUAGAGAAAAGGUAUUUGGAAUUUAAGAAAUAUUUAAGACUAUACCAAAUACAGUGAUUUUAAAAAUUAGAAUAGAAGAGGAAACCAUUGGUGAAUUAGCUUAUUUUAAAGCAAGGACUCAUAUUACAUUUCACUUUCUACUUUUUUGAUAGGUUUCGUUGUAUCUAUAACACUCUCCUCUCUCUCUCUCUCUCUCUCUCUCUCUCACACACACACACACACACACAUUAAGGCUUUUAUGUCAAUGAAAUUUAUUUUGUCCUUUAAGAAUGGAUUAACAUACAGAAGGGGAAAAGAUUAAAAGUUUCAUCUUAUUCCUAAUAUUUUACUAAAAAUUUCAGGAAAAUUGGAUGUAACAAAAGAAAAAUGAAGCUACUUCUUAAAAUUUUGAAGAAUAUAUCACUUUUUAAAGGAUAAUUUUUUGUUUGUUUUUUGAGACAGGGUUACUCUGUGGCUUUGGAGGCUGUCCUGGAACUAACUCUUGUAGACCAGGCUGGGCUCGAAGUUACAGAGAUUUAAAGGAUAUAUUUUUUUUACUGAUAUGGAAAACUCCAAUUUAUUUAGAGGUAUGCUGCCGUAAUUAAAGUCCAGCCCUGGGAUUGGCUGUGUCAACAUAGGCAAGGAAUGAAAAGGGCUAGCAGGUUACUUGGACAAUCUGACCAGAGAAGAUAGCUGACGUAAGUGUAUAGCUCAGUCUUCCACAAUUUGUGGUCAGUUUUAUUCGCCAGCCCUGCCUGGGUAAUUACAUCAGAUUUCCACACCCUUGGCUGUGUGGACACAGAGAGAAGGUUUUUAGCUCACGGAAAGAAGGUUAUGGAAGUCUGACUUACAUAAUUGGUCUCCAGUCUUGAAAACAUCUAUCCAUGAGUGCUUAGUUGGAUAAUAUGCCUGAACUUGCCUUUCGGAGUUUCUUAUGCUGGCUAAUAGUUGCCAUCCAUGACUAUGGCAUUUUAUGAGACUCUGUAGAAAUAUUUGUUCCUCCUAAGAUCCCUUUUCCUUUCCCUCCUCAUUUUCCAAAUUUCUUCUAAGUGAUUUUCAUAAAAUCAUAUAAUACUGGAUACUACUGAUAAUUAUAAUUCCAGUAUUUCUCACCCUUAUUAAUGUUUAUAAUACAUAUCUGGUUAUUUGAUUUUUUAAAUAAAUUUUCUUUGAAAUAAACUCCAAAUUACUCACUUUAGAUACCCUCUAAAAAGUGUAUUCCAGGUUAUGCAUUUAGUGUGCCGAUUAUUUUUCCUGAUAAUAAACCAAGUGUGUACUCAAAGCAUGUUAUUUAACUUCAAGAAAUACUAUUCUUGUCUAGUCUUUAAAUGAGAAAACUUAGGUGCAGCAAAGUGUACCAAGUCUUCUACAGGAAGAUAGCCAGCUAGCAGUAGAGUUAAUGAUUGAAACCAUGCUUUUAGACUUUUAAAUCCAAGCCUCUUCCACUAACCACACUGAUUUAGGUUUGGCACUUAUUUGGUAAAUUUAUAAGAAAUAUUCAUUUAAUAAAAUAUUGUAAGAAGGACAUCAGUUGUCCUUUACUUACUCUUAAGUGUCUAGUGUAUCACAGAUACUUGGAAACAAUGGUCCUCAACUAAAGUAUCCACACAGGAGUUCAUAAAGACUUCCCAGGCCCAUGUAGAGUGUUAAGAGUGCUGUAGAGAUAUGCAUUUCCCACAAAUUCCCUAAGAGAAGGAUUUGUGGGGAAGACAUUCCUAUUGAGAAUGCUACUUUACUGCCAUAAGAAUAAAGUCAUUUUUUCACACCCUUGGGAUUUUGUUAGGAUUUCCCCCGAGUGAUUGAGCACACCAGCAGUGAUACUAAAGAUAUGGAUGAGUGACAAUAUGCUAUAACUGCGGCAGGAGGUGUGGAAAGUGAAUUUCACAUCUGGUGUCAAUUCUGUUCUUUCCACACAAGUGAAUGUACAUUGACGAAAUUUCAGCUGAUAUACCUUCAAAAAUAAUUUUUUUUGCAUGGUAGAUGAACAUGUAAUUUGGGACACAAAAACUUCAAAGGCCCAAGUAUUGUGUUACAACUAUAUAAAAAAAAAAAACCUCUGUUUGCAUCUACAAAGGGAUGUUUUAGCACUUAUCUAAAUUAAAAUGUCAAAUAAGAAUGAAAAUAGCUGCUAUACUCAUAGAUCAGUGCCUUAUUCAGCCAUCCUCAGAGAAGCUGCCUCCUGUAGCAGAUGGAAACAAAUAUAGAGACCUACAGCCAGACACUAUACAGAGAAUGAGAGAACUUGGAACACUCAGCUCUAAAUGGAACACAAAAAUUGUUCAGAGGUCCAAGUGUCUUCUCUUGGACUCUUCUUUCUGUUGGCUUGUCAUGUCCAAAUUUGAUGUGAUAGUUAUUGUUGUAUCUUUUUACAUUUUAUUUUUUUUAUUUCAACAUUAUCUCAUAGAAUCCUGUUCUUUUCCAAUGUGACACAGAAAGGAAGUGGAUCUGGAUAGGAGAGGAGGUGGGGAAACUGUAAUCAGGAUAUAUUAUGUGAGAAAAGAAUCUAUUUUCAAUAAAAGGAAAAAUGUUUAAAAAGUUAAAGAAGAGAAAAGAAUAGAAUUAUUGCUAAACUUUAACUUGUUCUAGCAAUACAUAACAUUCAUACACAAAACCUAUAGGGAAAAAAACACCCAGACAUAUCCAUCUCCUUGAAAUAUGUUCAGCAUUGGUUUUCAUGUAUUGAUUUAUCAAUUUUCAUAUUUAUGUAAUUAUAUUGAACAUAAUCCAGUAAUAUAAUGCAUUUACUAAGCAAUUUACCAGUAAAAAUUAUGAUGUAUCUCAUGUUUAUGAGAGGUUCUUUGUCAUGGCUGGUCCCUCUGCCCUUCAGCCCCAAAUGAACACGCAGAUGCUAUAUUAAUUAUAAAAUUGUUGGUCAAUGACUAAGGGUUCUUAUUGGCUAGCUCUUCUUAAUUAUUAGCCCACUUCUAUUAUUUUAAGUAUUUCUACAUGGUCUUAUCUUACCUGAGAAGGGUCUGGACCUGUUACUCCUUUGGUGGCCUACAUGGUGACUGUUCUGGUGGGCCCUCUCUGCCUACCUUUCCCAGAAUUCUUCUUGUCGUAGUCCCACCUAUCUUCCUGCCUUAUAGACCAGACAGUGUUUUAUUCAUCAACCAAUAAGAGAAACAUAUAUACAGAAGAACUUCCCCCAUCAACCUCAUAUAAAUAUUUUAACAUUGGAAAUCUAUUGGAAAAAUUAAAAACUAACUUAUUUAUUUAUAUGUUUAUAUUUUGCUGUAGAAAAAAAUAUAUAUAGUCAACAAAUGAUGUAAUUUGAAAGUAAACCAAUAUUAUAUGAAUACAUUUAUAUCAAACUAGCAUAAAUAUAGUGAGAAAGGAAAAUAAAAAAUAAGAGGAAGAUAUAAAAUUCCAAUUUCUAUGAAGAUCUUAUUUCUUGAUUUCCGUUUUUACUAUUAUUGAUGGGGAAUCAAAUGACUUUGCUACCUAAAUUUCAUAGCAGGCAUUAAAAAUUUUGUAAUAAUUUCAUUUAAAAAAGAUUAAUAUAAAAAUCCUGGCAGUGGUGGCACAUGCCUUUAAUCCCAGCACCCAGGAAGCAGAGGCAGAAGCAGGUCGAUCUCUGUGAGUUCAAGGCCAGCCUGGUCUACAAAGUGAGUUCCAGGACAGCCAGGGCUACACAGAGAAACUCUGCCUCAAAAAAGAAAAACAAACAAAUAAACAAAAACGUUAAAGUAAGCUAUGCUCUCACUAUGAAAAUAACUACACAGGUAGUGAACUUGUUAUAUUUUAGCCAUUCCACAGUGGCCUGUGUGCUUCAAGACAUCAUGUUGUACAUAAAAAAUACAAUGUUAACAGAAAAUUUAAAGUAAUUAUAAAAUUAAUGAAAUAAAUUGGAAAAACAAAAUUUAUAGUAUUUAUGUCUUGAUUAAAAUAUUAGAUUUAUUCAAGGGGCACAGAAAGUUUCAAGGCUAUUACUUUCAGAACUGAAGUCGAUUUUCUAGGUGGAGAAUUCUCCAUGGAGAAACUUUGACCUGGUGCCACCUUCCCAGGAAUAAAUCCUGUAAUUGUCUGCUGAUCACACUGUACUGUAGACUGCAGGGUUGCCAGCAUCCCUGCAACACACUGCCUGGCAGUCAAGUCAUGAGCCUGAAUGUCUGUUGUCUUUGCUUGUUACAGUGAAUCCAGAUUAGUUUCGGAAAGGCUACACUAGUUCUCUAGCUUCCCAUACCGUGACAGAGUGGAGCUUCUGUUUUUACCAGAUAAAGUGAAGUAGUUAUUUCUUAUAAAAGUUAGAAAAGUUUGAAGCAAUAGAAUGAAAUAAAAGGAAGACAACAUUAACUUAAAGGGUACAUACAUAUGUAAAAUAACUGCAGUUUUAAAAACUUUCUAUUUAUUUAUUAUGUACAUUGGGGUUUUUGCCUUUAUGAUGCCUGUUUGAGGAUGCUAGAUCCCCUGGAACUGGAGUUGCACACUGCCAUAUGGAUUCUGGGAAUUGAACCCAGGUCCUUUGGAAGAUCAGCCAGUGCUCUUAACUGGUGAGCCAUCUUUCCUAGCCCCAUAACAAGAGAUUUUCAGUCACGUAUAACCAUAUUUUUAUUAAAAGUAUGAAGUUUAGCUCUGUAUUCAAGUUCCUAGCUUGUAUUAAACACCUAACACUUCACUCUGGUAAUGUAUAGGACAGUUUUAUUCUGAGUAAUGUGAAUUAUUUAUGAUUUAUUCCAGCUACAUUGUUUUAUAAUAUCAAAAGUUUGUGAUGAAAGACACAGAGUUUAACUUUCUCCUCUACUUCUUAUAAUUGCCACCAGAAAAAUUAAAAGCAGAAAGGAAAAUUUCCCCAUGUAUUCAAAAAUAAUUGAACUCUGAAAAAUUGCAAAUGUGUAAAACUGCUUACAAUGAAGUAUUAUUUAACACAACUAAACCAUAUCAGCCUUAUUGUAGAGAUCAUUUUUGGCUUGUGCUUUAGCACAUUAUAAAGAAUAAAAUUUAUUCUGUUCUAUUAAGUCUUGAUUAUAUUCAAAAGUGGUUAGUCUUCCUGUUCUUCCCCAUCAACAUGUUAUUCUCACUUUUGGACAACCAAAACAAAAAAAUUAAAUCUAGAACAUGUAGAUAUUUACAGUUAGAACUGUUCUACAGUGCUGACAAUCUAGAAAUGAAUUCAGUAUUAAUGCUCUUCUUCAUAACAUCUUAUCCUCCAUAAUCACAGCCUGAUGCCUGAGACUCAUAUUUCACUCCUGGAAAGUUUCAGAGAAGCCACGGAAACCAUAAUCAUUUGGUGAAAAAUAAUAGGGAAAUCACUUCUAUUUAUAAAAACCCACUUCUGUGCUGGACCUGCAUGAGUGUAUUAUAAAUAUUAUAUUGCUUGGAAAGUUAGAUAUCCGAGAAACACUUCCAAAUAAUUAGAAAAAUAUACACAAAUGUAAAUUGUUUUUGAAAACUGAAGCACAUUUUCAAAUACAGUCAGUUAGAAACAACAAAAAUUAGGACAAAAAGAUAGGCCACUGAGAUGGCUCAGCUUGUAGAUCAUUUACUGCACAAUCAAAUCACCUGAGUGCGAGCCUGGGAUCCCACUGUGCAAGGAAAAAAACAGUAAAACAGGUCCCAUAAGUUGUCCUCUGACAGACAGACAGACAGGCAGACAGACACAGACACACACAGACACACAGACACACACAGACACACAGACACAGACACACAGACACACACACACACACGAGUCAUACCAUAAAAGCCAAGAAUGCCAUUGUUUUGUUUAUAUCACUUACCUAAAUGAACAAAAGCACUAAAACUGAAUUCAACAUUUUCAGUGGUGUCAUAAAGAUGGAAUAUUCUGAGGUUUGUUCCUACCCAUUUUGAAGGGAAAGCUCAUGGGAUUUUAUCAAAGAAUAAAACUUGAUAGAAAACAGGGAUGACUAGGAUGAUAAAUUUUAGGUGUGGGUGGAUACCUCAUGGUAUUCAGGUCAUUUGCUUAAGAGAAAGGAAGAGAUGAGUUAUACCUUGCCUUUGUGAUAAAAUCACGUAGCAAUUGAUGCUUCAUUCAGUGUUU
rnacentral:lncRNA from 1 species